AUGGACCACAAGACUGCCGCCCGGCCGGAAAGCGUACGGGCGUUCGCCCUCGCCCGCGCCACCGUCGUCGUCUUCGCCUUGGCCACAGCGGCCGACUACGUACUCGACCGCUACCACCUCUGCAGCAGCCACAGUCAGGCUUCCUUCAUCCUGCCGUGCGUCAGGGUGACGGCCGCGGCGGCCGCCGAGUGGAGGGCCCUCUGGCUCGCCAUGGUCUGCUGCGCGGUGCUCGAGGUGACCGUCGCGGCGCUGGCACUGCGGCAUCCACGCCGCGCCCUGGCCCUCGCCUACCUCCAGCUCGCGCUCACCAUCGUCCGCCACUACAUGUACGUCCGCGCCCUCCGCAUCCUCCUCGCCGCCGACCCAGGAUACCACCUCACCUUGAUCUGCAUCGCGAGCAUCUCCUGCUUCAUAGCGCGCGACGCCACCAGCUUCAUGUUCAUGGACCUUCUCCUCGGAGGCGAGGAGUGA
rnacentral:rRNA from 1 species